rnacentral:lncRNA from 1 species
UUCAAAUUCACGCAACAUUUUUGUGCGUAGUUUACACCACUGAUAUCAAGAACUUGAUAAAAUAUUUGGCGUUAAUUACGUCGUUUUAUGAAACCCAGGGGGGGUUCAUCGCCAUAGGGACACACGUACAAGGAAAUUGCUACCAAAUGCUGCCAAUGUGACGUCACUGGGAUGCUCGAAAGCUGAUUGGUCGCUGAGAUUCGAGUAACGUAGUCAAUUCUGGCGCACCGGCGCAGUGUUUUCCGACCGUUGCGUGUUAUUACUUUGGUUGUUAUGCAAAGUUUUAAUAUGUUUGUUUAAUAAUAUAAACACGUUUUCAUGUGUUUGAAGGUCGCAAAAGCUUAACAUAAGUGGCAACCGCACUUUGUAUUACGUUUCGUCUCAUAUAUUAUGAAGAACAACCAAGUAGGAUUUCAAGCUGGGAUCAUGCUGAGGAACCUCUACCAAGGAAAGCUGAGGCGAGGGCGAGUAGGUCCCUGAGGAGGACCACUGCAAAGGAGGUCAAGGAGAUUCUGGGAGCAGCCUGCGAGCAACCUCUAGACCAGCCAGCAGGCACCUCUGACAAUGCCGCUGCCGGAGUCGACGCUGGCAGCCAUGGCCGGCGCCGAGCUGACGAGUUCCAACCUGGAAGCUCAGCGCGAGGGGCUGGCAUUUGUUGCCGGCUUCGUGGCAUACAAGUGUCACCACAUCGACGCCACCCUCGGUAGUCGGUCUCCUGACUUCUCGGGCGCCGCCGGAGACACUGAACACCCUGCCGAACAGCUGAAUUGUGACGAUCAGCCGAGGCCAGCCGUUUGUUCUGUCACAAGCCUGGGUGGCCGCUGUGGAGGAGUUCGAGCGGAACUUCUGCCUGCUGAUGGGGGCAACUGCAGAUCAGGGGCCGCGAGUCAUACAGCGUCUCAAGCUGUUCAUCGCCGUCAAGCAGCCUCAGCUCGGCACCUGCGUGUCCAGGAAGUUGGCGAGCACCCGUCUCCACUUCCCCCUUCGGUCCUUAGCCUGACUGGACGAGGUCUGGCAGCUGAAAAGAGCCGAUAGAAAAGUUGGCCAUCAUGCAAGGAGCUCUAGGUGAGCUGGUAAACCGGCUCGUGUAGCGACUACGACUGCUGGGUGGUGCUGUGUGACUCGGUGUGGUACGGCCGGCUCUGUGUGGAUGCUGUGCGACUCGGCAUGGUGCCUCCGGCUGUGUGUAACGGCUGUGCGACUCGGUGUGGUACGGCCGGCUCUGUUGGUGCUGUGCAACUCGGCAUGGUGCCUCCGGCUGUGUGUAACGGCUGUGCGACUCGGUGUGGUACGGCCGGCUCUGUGUGGGUGCUGUGCGACUCGGCAUGGUGCCUUCGGCUGUGUGUAACGGCUGUGCGACUCGGUGUGGUACGGCCGGCUCUGUGUGGGUGCUGUGCGACUCGGCAUGGUGCCUCUGGCUGUGUGUAACGGCUGUGCGACUCGGUGUGGUACGGCAAGAUUUGUUGGUGCUGUGUGACUCGGCAUGGUGCCUCCGGCUGUGUGUAACGGCUGUGCGACUCACUGUGCGACUCGACAUUGAGUAACGGCUGUGCGUCUCGAUAUUGUACCACCAGCUGUGAGUAACGGCCACCCGUAAGUGAAACUUAUAAUAUUUAGUGACAAUGU